rnacentral:lncRNA from 10 species
UGGGGGCACAGGAUAACAAUAGUAGCUAAUAUAGUACUUACCUGGUGUUUUACUGUGUACUGGACACCAUUUGAAGCACCUUACACAUAUAAGUUCAUUCAGUCCUCAUUAUUAUUAUCCACAUUUUUAAAACUAGGAAACCAAGGCCCAGAGAAAUUAAGUAACUUGCUCAAAGUGUCACAACUAGUAAGAGGUGGAAGCUAGGAUCUGAACUCAAGCCAGCUGGCUCUAGACUGUGUUAUCACCCUCCAUAACAGAACCUGGGCUGCAGGUCCAGGAGAGGAGGGUGAGGAGGCAGCUGUGUGUGGGUGUGGCACCAUGAGGGGAAUGUGGGUUGUGAGUACCAUGUCCUGUUUACCAGUGGGAGAAGUCAGACCCCUGAGUCAGAACUUAUGCUGGGGAGCUUUGCUGGGGCCAUCACGAUGUGUGGGUGUCCAGGCCUCCGGAAGGAAAGGAUUCCCAGCAUUCCUAAAGCCAUGGUCCUGGCAUCUAGGUCCCUCCUUAGGCUGAGAUACCAGCUGAGAGUUAAGCAGUUUGGGGAGAAUGAAGUUUAGGAAGCCAGCCUUACAAACAACACAGAGAGGUCAUCUAUAAUGAGAAUUGAGGGCAAAAUCGAUUCAAAGGCCCAGGGACCACUAAAGGUUGGGCAGAACGGGCCGUGUUUGGAAACUGGGUGGGAUUGUGAAACUAACUGCGAGCAACUGAAUAGGCGGAGGGGGCUUUAGAGACUUGUGCCAGUGACUGAGGGCUCAGGCGCAGAGAGAGACCCGGGGCUUUGUACAUGGUAGAAUUAAGGAGCGCUGGCGUUGCGUUGGGGGAAGAAGGAAAGCCCCACCCCGCUCCCCCGGGAGUAGGGAGGAAUGGGUGCUUUGGCCCCCAGGGCUCCGGUCCUGGCAUGGCCUGGGCCGCCUCCCCGACUCCAUCAUUGCUGUCAUUCCCGGCCUCAAGCCUCCACCGCCCCCACACGUGCCGCCACAGGGAGCGGCCCGAUCAAGGCGUGACGCUCCGAAGGGUGGGGCCUCACUUAUUCCCCUAUUUAAAGGGGAAAGAGGCCGCGGCGCCGGCCCCAGGACCCGACCCGGCCCCAGGAGAGUGUGCUCGUUCUGUUCACGGAGCUGGCCGCGUUAGCGACGUCCUCGAGUCCGCGGCGGGCACGAUGCAGCUCUUGUGCUCUACUGUGCGGAGAUCAAGGACAUUGGCCACCUGACCCGUUGCACGUUGUAACCGAGGAACUCGGAAGCUACAGCCGAAGGAAGGUGGGAGCUGCAGCCUCGCGGGGGCUGAUGUCAAGACUACUCUCUCUCAGAUCCCAGGAUUGGCAUGUGAUGAGAGAGAUGAGCCGAAGGCAGGAGGGAACGCCCUGGGAGGUGUUGAUGCUGAGUUGGGGAGGCUCCUAGACGAACUCGCCCCCAUCUACUGACUGUGCCAGUCUUACAUUUUCAGGAUGGAGUGGCCAAGGGAUGAUAUAAACAAAGCCUACGUUACCGUGGGAAGAAGACAGACUGUUUUCUUAGCUGGGACGUUGGCUUUUGUCCAGGGUGGCUCUGGUGUGUGGGAGCAACAGGUCCCAUUUUAGCAAUUCUUUGUCAAUGGUUUGAAUUUUUUUUUUUUUUAAGAUGGAACGGGAGAGAAGAGGCUAAUUUUCGCGUCAUGUUAAUCUCACUUCUCUGGCAUGUAAGGGUGCUGGUAUGCCUGCUGUCUCCCCACUCCCAGUUCUGUGUUCCAGAAAUUGAGAUGGCUCCCUGCCUGUGACUAUGAUUAGGAGCCUUGCUUCAUUUCAGAAUCUCCCUUCAACCUGCUAGGGCAGGUAUCAGAAAUUCCAAAGGGCAUUUAUGUGAGGCACCUAAUUAGAGCCUAUCAAAGUAGGAAGGGAGAGCCAUUUGAAAGGCAUCAUAUUUCAAACUUUUGCUAUUAUCUGUGUUAUCUUUACAGUCACGGGAACACACUAGCGCUACUGAAAAGAUACUUAUACAAUUUUAAGUGUCUUUAAAAUUUGUGUCCCAUAAUGGGACAUCACCUGUUGUAUAUAUGCCAUGUAUUCUAUUUUAGAAUCCUGUAUCUUAUGACCAUAAAGUCAUAGUCAAGGACCAGCAGUGUUGGUGUACUGUCAACGGAAGUGCACAGUCUCACUCUAGGAUCCCACUCCAGACUUCCUGAAUCAGACUCUGGCAGGGUUUUUUGUUUUUUUGUUUUUGUUUUGAGCCAGAGUCUCACUGUGUCGCCCAGGCUGGAGUGCAGUGGCGUGAUCUCGGCUCACUGCAGCCUCCGCCUCCCAGGUUCAAGCGAUUCUCCUGCCUCAUCCUCCGGAGUAGCUGGGAUUACAGGCGCCUGCCACCACACCUGGCUAAUUUUUGUAUUUUUAGUAGAGAUGGGGUUUCGCCAUGUUUGUCAGGCUGGUCUCAAAACUCCUGACCUCAGGUGAUGGCGCCCACCUUGGCCUCCCAAAGUGCUGGGAUUAUAGGAGUGAGCCACCGCGCCGGGCCAGACUCUGGCAUUUUAACAAUCCCAGGUGAUGUGUGUGCAUGUGAAAAUUUAAGUACCAUUGGUCUAGAUCCUACACUCUUUAGGAUAUCACCAUCUGUAGGUAGAAUAUUUAAAGCAUAAUAGGUAUGACUGAUAGAUUAUUUUAUCCAAAGUUCUUUUUUUUUUUUUUUGAGAUGGAGUCUUGCUCUGUUGCCCAGACUGGAGUGCAGUGGCGUGAUCUCGGCUCACUGCAAGCUCUGCCUCCUGGGUUCACGCCAUUCUCCUGCCUCAGCCUCCCAAGUAGCUGGGGCUACAGGCACCCACCACCACGCCUGGCUAAUUUUUUUGUAUUUUUAGUAGAGAUGGGGUUUCACCGUGUUAGCCAGGAUGGUCUCGAUCUCCUGACCUCAUGAUCCGCCUGCCUCGGCCUCCCAAAGUGCUAGGAUUACAGGCGUGAGCCACCACGCCCGGCCCCAAAGUUCUAAAGUAACAUUCUAUUGCUAAAGAAAUCCUAACCUACUAUGUAACAUUUUUCUCUUAGUUAAAAAUGUGAACUUAUUAUUAACCUCAAUUUUUUAGAGGCCUCCAAUCUUUUUAAAAUAUAAAUAUUUUUGAUUGACAAAUCAUAAUUAUACACUUAUGGGGGUAUAAACCUCAAUUUUUGUAACCCUAUUUUGGCAUUUUCCUGUCCUUACAUCUCAGCUUAAAUGCUCCCUCUUUUGGGAGGCCUUUUUCUGCCUUCAACAUAGUAGAGCCUUUUCCCCCACCCCUCUGUAACAUAAUGCCCUGUUUUAUUUUUACUGCUUUUAUUUUCAUGCUUUGUGGGUGUCCCCACUGGAGUGUAAGCCCUAUGGGAGCAAGGGCUGACCUGUGACUGUUUUAUCUCCAGGGCCAACAGCAGUGUUACUGUAUAGUAUGUACUCAAUAAAUAUUUGUUGGCUUUAUCUCUUAUUUUUUAAUAUAAUAGCCUUGUGAACUAAGUGUCUGGCCUCUCUCAAUCUCUCAGAGGCUCUGUUUAGUGAACAAUAAACAUCAAGGAAGUGCCUA